CAAGAGGGCGCCGUCACUGACUGCUCAGCACCACACACACACACAAUGACAGACACACAGACAGAAAAACACACACAGAAACACACACACACUGAUGUGCUUCUGCUUCCUUCAUGUGUUAUAAGUCCAUGAACACAUGAACCUCUGAGCAGGAUGAUGAGGUUGGUGAUGAAUCUCUGAUGUGAGUCUGCAGCUUCCAAACAUUCAUCCUUUCACAAACAUCCCAAAAAUCAAAUCUGCUUUCUUAAUGUCAGAUGAGACCAGAACCAGAAUCCAGAACCAAGCCGGGUUCUGAGUCUGGCUCCAUUAGUUUUCCUGUAAGCCUGUUUGCUGCUAUUGUUUCCUUUCAGGUUGAAAUUAGUAUUUAGAACAUAGAAUAAAAUCUUGUUAGUUUUCAAACUUGAGCAGCUGAGGCUGAUUAAUGAUCAGACCCCCGUUGAAUAUAUCAGCUGUUCUAAUCUUGACUCAAAGUUUUUCUGACUGCAGAGCAGCAACAGGAAACAGAACGGCGCUGAUGGACGGCUGCUUCCUGUCUGAGGAUCAGAAACGCGUCAGAGAUUUUUACAGUCAGAUUAUUUUCUUCUCUGCAGCUCCAGGAUCUGGAAACGUCUUUAAACCGGAGACACAGAACGAGCCGGCAAGCCGCCUCAGCAGGACGACAGUCAGCUCUUCAUCGGGUUUUAUAACCGAUGACCUCACUACCUCCUGUUGCUAGGAUACAGACAUUUCCCUCUUCCUCCUCCUCUUCCUCUAACGAUGCAGCAGGACGAGGAAGAGCUGCUGACCGACUGUUUACCUUUCUGCAGUUUUGGCUUCAUUGCUGACCUGAAUAUGACCUUUCACUAAAAAUUCCAGUGAUGUCAGGCCUUCACUGCCUCAUUAUGAAAUAUUCAACAUGAAACCGCCACCGAGCGCCAGGUGAGACGAUUCCACAUGCAGGCUGAACGAAAGCCAAUCAGGUCAGGGGGUGGAUCCCAGAGCAGCCAAUCAGGUCAGGGGGCGGAUCCCAGAGCACCUGCUAACCAAUCAAUAAUCAAUCUGGUCUGGCUGAAGACCUCAGUUUACCGUGAUCUGAUUGGCUGCUGCUGGAGUCAGCCUUGGUGAACUUUAAACAGAAACAAGAGGGAAGCGGAGGGGGAGGAGGAGUGGAUGGUUGGAUGGAUGGUUGGAUGGAUGGUUGGAUGGAUGGUUGGAUGGACGGUUGGAUGCUAGCGUAGCA